UACGGAGGGGGCUAGCGUUGUUCGGAAUUACUGGGCGUAAAGCGCACGUAGGCGGCUUUGUAAGUUAGAGGUGAAAGCCCAGAGCUCAACUCUGGAACUGCCUUUAAGACUGCAUCGCUUGAAUCAUGGAGAGGUCAGUGGAAUUCCGAGUGUAGAGGUGAAAUUCGUAGAUAUUCGGAAGAACACCAGUGGCGAAGGCGACUGACUGGACAUGUAUUGACGCUGAGACGCGAAAGCGUGGGGAGCGAACAGG
rnacentral:rRNA from 1 species